AUACGGAGGAUCCGAGCGUUAUCCGGAUUUAUUGGGUUUAAAGGGUGCGCAGGCGGACAUUUAAGUCAGCGGUUAAAUCGUGGGGCUCAACCCCAUUCUGCCGUUGAUACUGGGUGGCUUGAUUGCGGUCGAGGUUGGCGGAAUUCGUUGUGUAGCGGUGAAAUGCAUAGAUAUGACGAAGAACACCGAUUGCGUAGGCAGCUGACCAGACCGCAAAUGACGCUCAUGCACGAAAGUGCGGGGAUCGAACAGGAUUAGAUACCCUGGUAGUCCGCACAGUAAACGAUGAAUACUUGUUUUCGGCGAUAUAAUGUCGGAGGCAAAGCGAAAGCGAUAAGUAUUCCACCUGGGGAGUACGCCGGCAACGGUGAAACUCAAAUGAAUUGACGGGG
rnacentral:rRNA from 1 species